AGGGGUUAAAAAAUGUUGUUACAGCUAACUAGCCCAGGACUUAUUGGCAGCAGGAUUUUACUAGCCCUGUUGGAAGAACUGCUAGUCCAUCAAAACUGACCUGCUAGCCCUAGUAUGCCUUAAAAAUCAAGAGUUUGCUGCAUAAUACAAAGUGGGUGUCCUUUGUUUUGAAGGAGACAUUAACACUGUAUUUAAUAUUUUUUGUUGAUCUGUUAUUUAUUCUUUUGGUGCAUAACCUAACUUAGUUG
rnacentral:lncRNA from 1 species